rnacentral:rRNA from 1 species
AGCCUGAUGCAGCGACGCCGCGUGGGGGAUGACGGUCUUCGGAUUGUAAACCCCUUUCAGUAGGGACGAAGCGCAAGUGACGGUACCUGCAGAAGAAGCACCGGCCAACUACGUGCCAGCAGCCGCGGUAAUACGUAGGGUGCGAGCGUUGUCCGGAAUUACUGGGCGUAAAGAGCUCGUAGGCGGUUUGUCGCGUCGUCCGUGAAAACUCGGAGCUUAACUCCGAGCUUGCGGGCGAUACGGGCAGACUUGAGUACUACAGGGGAGACUGGAAUUCCUGGUGUAGCGGUGAAAUGCGCAGAUAUCAGGAGGAACACCGGUGGCGAAGGCGGGUCUCUGGGUAGUAACUGACGCUGAGGAGCGAAAGCAUGGGUAGCGAACAGGAUUAGAUACCCUGGUAGUCCAUGCCGUAAACGGUGGGCGCUAGGUGUGGGGUCCUUCCACGGAUUCCGUGCCGUAGCUAACGCAUUAAGCGCCCCGCCUGGGGAGUACGGCCGCAAGGCUAAAACUCA